rnacentral:rRNA from 1 species
CGGAUCGUAAAGCUCUGUUGUUAGGGAAGAACAAGUGCCGUUCAAAUAGGGCGGCACCUUGACGGUACCUAACCAGAAAGCCACGGCUAACUACGUGCCAGCAGCCGCGGUAAUACGUAGGUGGCAAGCGUUGUCCGGAAUUAUUGGGCGUAAAGGGCUCGCAGGCGGUUUCUUAAGUCUGAUGUGAAAGCCCCCGGCUCAACCGGGGAGGGUCAUUGGAAACUGGGGAACUUGAGUGCAGAAGAGGAGAGUGGAAUUCCACGUGUAGCGGUGAAAUGCGUAGAGAUGUGGAGGAACACCAGUGGCGAAGGCGACUCUCUGGUCUGUAACUGACGCUGAGGAGCGAAAGCGUGGGGAGCG